CCUACGGGUGACAGCAGUGAGGAAUAUUGGUCAAUGGACGAGAGUCUGAACCAGCCAAGUAGCGUGAAGGAUGACUGCCCUAUGGGUUGUAAACUUCUUUUAUAUGGGAAUAAAAUGUUCCACGUGUGGGAUUUUGUAUGUACCAUAUGAAUAAGGAUCGGCUAACUCCGUGCCAGCAGCCGCGGUAAUACGGAGGAUCCGAGCGUUAUCCGGAUUUAUUGGGUUAAAAGGGAGCGUAGGUGGAUUGUUAAGUCAGUUGUGAAAGUUUGCGGCUCAACCGUAAAAUUGCAGUUGAAACUGGCAGUCUUGAGUACAGUAGAGGUGGGCGGAAUUCGUGGUGUAGCGGUGAAAUGCUUAGAUAUCACGAAGAACUCCGAUUGCGAAGGCAGUUCACUGGACUGCAACUGACACUGAGGCUCGAAAGUGUGGGUAUCAAACAGGAUUAGAUCCCCUGUAGUC
rnacentral:rRNA from 1 species